rnacentral:rRNA from 1 species
ACAUGCAAGUCGAACGGUAACAGGAAGCAGCUUGCUGCUUUGCUGACGAGUGGCGGACGGGUGAGUAAUGUCUGGGAAACUGCCUGAUGGAGGGGGAUAACUACUGGAAACGGUAGCUAAUACCGCAUAACGUCGCAAGACCAAAGAGGGGGACCUUAGGGCCUCUUGCCAUCGGAUGUGCCCAGAUGGGAUUAGCUAGUAGGUGGGGUAACGGCUCACCUAGGCGACGAUCCCUAGCUGGUCUGAGAGGAUGACCAGCCACACUGGAACUGAGACACGGUCCAGACUCCUACGGGAGGCAGCAGUGGGGAAUAUUGCACAAUGGGCGCAAGCCUGAUGCAGCCAUGCCGCGUGUAUGAAGAAGGCCUUCGGGUUGUAAAGUACUUUCAGCGGGGAGGAAGGGAGUAAAGUUAAUACCUUUGCUCAUUGACGUUACCCGCAGAAGAAGCACCGGCUAACUCCGUGCCAGCAGCCGCGGUAAUACGGAGGGUGCAAGCGUUAAUCGGAAUUACUGGGCGUAAAGCGCACGCAGGCGGUUUGUUAAGUCAGAUGUGAAAUCCCCGGGCUCAACCUGGGAACUGCAUCUGAUACUGGCAAGCUUGAGUCUCGUAGAGGGGGGUAGAAUUCCAGGUGUAGCGGUGAAAUGCGUAGAGAUCUGGAGGAAUACCGGUGGCGAAGGCGGCCCCCUGGACGAAGACUGACGCUCAGGUGCGAAAGCGUGGGGAGCAAACAGGAUUAGAUACCCUGGUAGUCCACGCCGUAAACGAUGUCGACUUGGAGGUUGUGCCCUUGAGGCGUGGCUUCCGGAGCUAACGCGUUAAGUCGACCGCCUGGGGAGUACGGCCGCAAGGUUAAAACUCAAAUGAAUUGACGGGGGCCCGCACAAGCGGUGGAGCAUGUGGUUUAAUUCGAUGCAACGCGAAGAACCUUACCUGGUCUUGACAUCCACGGAAGUUUUCAGAGAUGAGAAUGUGCCUUCGGGAACCGUGAGACAGGUGCUGCAUGGCUGUCGUCAGCUCGUGUUGUGAAAUGUUGGGUUAAGUCCCGCAACGAGCGCAACCCUUAUCCUUUGUUGCCAGCGGUCCGGCCGGGAACUCAAAGGAGACUGCCAGUGAUAAACUGGAGGAAGGUGGGGAUGACGUCAAGUCAUCAUGGCCCUUACGACCAGGGCUACACACGUGCUACAAUGGCGCAUACAAAGAGAAGCGACCUCGCGAGAGCAAGCGGACCUCAUAAAGUGCGUCGUAGUCCGGAUUGGAGUCUGCAACUCGACUCCAUGAAGUCGGAAUCGCUAGUAAUCGUGGAUCAGAAUGCCACGGUGAAUACGUUCCCGGGCCUUGUACACACCGCCCGUCACACCAUGGGAGUGGGUUGCAAAAGAAGUAGGUAGCUUAACCUUCGGGAGGGCGCUUACCACUUUGUGAUUCAUGACUGGGGUGAAGUCGUAACAAGGUAACCGUAGGGGAACCUGCGGUUGGAUCACCUCCUUACCUUAAAGAAGC